rnacentral:rRNA from 1 species
GACGAACGCUGGCGGCGUGCUUAACACAUGCAAGUCGAACGGAAAGGCCCUGCUUUUGUGGGGUGCUCGAGUGGCGAACGGGUGAGUAACACGUGAGUAACCUGCCCUUGACUUUGGGAUAACUUCAGGAAACUGGGGCUAAUACCGGAUAGGAGCUCCUGCUGCAUGGUGGGGGUUGGAAAGUUUCGGCGGUUGGGGAUGGACUCGCGGCUUAUCAGCUUGUUGGUGGGGUAGUGGCUUACCAAGGCUUUGACGGGUAGCCGGCCUGAGAGGGUGACCGGCCACAUUGGGACUGAGAUACGGCCCAGACUCCUACGGGAGGCAGCAGUAGGGAAUAUUGCACAAUGGGCGGAAGCCUGAUGAAGCAACGCCGCGUGCGGGAUGACGGCCUUCGGGUUGUAAACCGCUUUCGCCUGCGACGAAGCGUGAGUGACGGUAAUGGGUAAAGAAGCACCGGCUAACUACGUG